ACACUUUAUACUUUGCUAUACCUACACAUAGCUAUUUUAACUUGUAAUAAUUUAAUCAUAGAACAAUACAACAAAAUAAACUAAGUAGCCUUUCCAGAAAAAAAAACAGUGAAGUCACAAACAGCUGAAUUUGUUCAAAGGACCAUAUCCUCCAUAUGCUGCAAGAUGAAAAAGUUUAGUUUGUAACCAGGCCAUUGCUAGGUUGCACUGUAACACAGUCAGGUAGCUGGAGGUGACAGAAUGUGAGAAGUGUAGUGAAAAUGUUUCCUGGUCAUGUCAUAAUGGUACAUGACUAACAACCAACUACUCCUGAUGUCACAGGAGAUUACAAACCUCCUUUGCAUAUAGGACACUAGAUACACAAAUUUCCCAGGUGCUUUCUUCCCUUCUUGGGUGUUAUCUGAAGCCAUUUGUAUAAUCUUGCUGGAGUUCAGUCUAGUGCUCUGGCUCUCAGCAGCCGUUGCCCCACUACACUGAUGGUGUCCCAAGCUAUAAGCAUGAGAGAAACAUCACUCAGGGAAGGAAAUGGCCACAUGAAGCACCCAAAUCAUACCUCUGCUCUCAUAAGUGGGCUCCUAUGAGUGGGCUAAAUCCCAGAGGAAGCAUACAAGAACAGAAGUGUAUUCCAGAGUACCUGGAGUCUGAGUGACAGACACUGGUAAAUGGGACUUUGCUGAUAAAUUUCCAUUUAGUCCUGGUGCAUUAACUAUUUCAUUUUUGUAGGCUUGUAAUCUUCUGAGGAAAAAUAUUCUCAGAGCUGUUGAUCUGACCUAGUUUUUGUUUCAUUUGUGUCCCAAUGUGGUGUAUCAUUUAGUUAUGAAAAAAUAAAAAUAAAAAAAAUACAGCCA
rnacentral:lncRNA from 1 species